rnacentral:rRNA from 1 species
UACGUAGGGGGCUAGCGUUGUCCGGAAUCAUUGGGCGUAAAGCGCGUGUAGGCGGUCCGAUAAGUCCGCUGUGAAAGUCGAGGGCUCAACCCUCGAAUGCCGGUGGAUACUGUCGGGCUUGAGUACGGGAGAGGCGAGUGGAAUUCCUGGUGUAGCGGUGAAAUGCGCAGAUAUCAGGAGGAACACCGAUUGCGAAGGCAGCUCGCUGGAACGUUACUGACGCUGAGACGCGAAAGCGUGGGGAGCAAACGGG